ACCUGCUGCUUAAGGACCAUCUGUAGGGAUCACUUCUGCUGAUCUAGUCCACACACACUUAUCUGCCGUGUGUGUGUGUGUGUUUGUAUGUUUGAGUGUUUACAUAUGUGCGUGUGGGUGUUAGUGGGUAUCUGUGUGUGUGUGUGUGUGUGUGUAUGUGUAUGUGUGUGUGUAGGUAUGUGUGAAUGUAUGUGUGUAUAUUUGUUUCAUUGUGUGUGACAGAGACACAGUGAGUACAUGUAUGUGUGUUUGCGUGCACGGGAUAGAGAGACAGAAAAGGAGAGAGAGAGAGAGCUUGUGUGUGUGUGUGUGUGUGUGUGUGUGUGAGAGAGAGAGCUGGAGAGGGCUGUUUGAUGUCAGUAUGGUUGGCUGGGUGUGGUGGGGGAGGGGGCUAAUGCUCCUCAUAUGGCCAACCUGGCAGGAGAGGCAGUGUGUGUGUGUGCGUGUGUGUGUGUGUGUGUAUCGUGUGUAUCGUGUGUAUCGUGUGAGUAUGUGAGUUGUGUGAGUGUGUUUGAGAAUGUGUCUGAGAGUUGUGUGAGGGUGUGCAUGUAAGUGUGUGUGUGUGUGUGUGUGUGUGUGUUUGAGUGUCUGUAUGAGUGUAUUGCGAGUGUGUGUGUGUUGUGUAAAUGUGUAUGUAAGUGUGAGUGUGUUGAGAGUGUGACAAUGAGUUUUGUGUGUGUGUGUGUGUGUGUGUGUGUGUGUGUGUGUGUGUGUGCCCCCCUCAUAAGGGCAGUCUGGCAGGAGAAAGGCGGCUUUGGAGACAGAUAAAAGACCUCCGCUGCACUGUCUGACUUUAAAGAGAGAGAGAGAGGGAGGGAAGGAGGGAGAGAGAGAGAGAGAGAGAGGGAGGGAGGGAGAGAGCGAGAGGUGGAAAAAGAGAGAGCAUCGUAGGAAGAGAUGAAAAAGACUUAAGUAAGGGUGAAGAGAGAGACAGGAGAGAUGAUAGAGAGAUGAAGUGAAGAGAGAGAGAGAGAUGAUAGAGAGAUGAAGGGAAGAGAGAGACAGGGAGAGAUGAAGGGAAGAGAGAGAGAGGUAGAGAUGGAUAGAGAGAUGAAGGGAAGAAGUGAAGAGAGAGACAGGGAGAGAUGAUAGAGAGAUGAAGGGAAGAAAGAGAGGGAGAGAUGGAUAGAGAGAUGAAGGGAAGAGAGAGACAGGGAGAGAUGAUAGAGAGAUGAAGGGAAGAGAGAGACAGGGAGAGAUGAUAGAGAGAUGAAGUGAAGAGAGAGAGGUAGAGAUGAUAGAGAGAUGAAGGGAAGAGAGAGAGGGAGAGAUGAUAGAGAGAUGAAGUGAAG
ensembl:lncRNA